rnacentral:lncRNA from 1 species
AUAUGUAAAACUUAGGUCAAUUGGUGUGACGCACUCAGUUGAACUAGUGUAAUAUAUGUAGUCGAACGGAUGUAACUUAUCUGUAGUUGAACCAAUUGGAGACCUGGCAACGCAACAACAUUUUCAUUCUAUGGUGUCUCGCACAUGGUUUGCUAGAACAAGUUGAACUGAAUAUAUUUUUUGUUUUGAACUUUGAAAGAAGCUACAACUUCUGUUUCCCGAAUGUGUACAGAAUUUUAAGUUUCCAAGCACUCUUUUUUGGUGAUGAGCACACCGCCCAUGCUCCUGUGGACUGACGGCGCCUCGAAGUGGAGCUGGAGGAGAGGUUCGCCGGGAUUUGGCCGCUUUAGAGAAACAAUAAGUCAGACCUGCUCGAUGGGAAUUUACACAAACUGUUUGGAAUUAGAAAUUAAACUUUAGUAAAAUUAGAAAUUGAAGGAAAAUAAAAUAAGAGACUGACUGAACUAAAAACAAGAAUGAAGCGACGGUGAACGGCCUCGGGCGGCGAGGUUGGACCGCUAGACGCAGCGGUGCCGGACCACCCAGAAUACAUCUAGAACAUCAUGUAUUUCUGGGUGUAUGUUUUAACGUUCUUUUGUACAGAGUGUAUGUUUUUGCCAGCAGGAGGCACCCAUGCACCCACCAGCGGAUGCACGCGACAAGCCCACAACACACACGCACGCACCAGUAGGCACAUCAAAAGUGAUCUGCAGUUCAUUAGAUGUAGCUAUAUGAAAAACCACUUAGAUUCUGUGUUUGGAACAUUAAUCACAUCAUUAGUUCUUGUAGGAAUUUCACAAACAGAUGUAGGGAACAAAACCUUCAGCUCACAUGAUGCUUCAUCGGUGCAUUCAUGAAACACCAACCAAUAAUAGCAGUCCAUCAAGCUUGGAGGUGAGGUAGAAAUCGGGGCAGCAUGUGUGGGCGGCUAUGGACAACACAAAGCGAGAGGUGCCUCGGAGGACCGACGACACACGCAUGCUGGUGGCAGCCACGAUCGUCGGAGCACAGGGGACCAGAGGCGGUGCUCAAGAUCCACCACCGGCCAGCGUCCGCGAUGCCAGCGGGAGCAGGUCCAUGAACCAU